CUUUCCCAUCCAGGUGGCAUAAGAAGUUACCAACAGCCCCAAUGGACCCCCGAGCAGCAGCUGGCCUUACCCCCCAAGAGCAUGAGAUGAUCUAGACUUGACUGGGAAUAACUUCAAACCUGUGAUGCUAGCUGCUGGCUUUGAAGGGUUAAAAUCCAUUUUCACGUAAUAAAAUUACUGAUAGUAAUGGUAUUCAGCUGGGUGUACUUUGCACUUGGCAAAAAGUGUCCAUUAUCGUAACAACUUUUUCUCUCUGAGUCCAAUUAUAUAAAGUUCAAGAAUAAACACAUACAACCAUGCUGUUCUGAAAUCCAUGCUUAGGUGAAACCGUAAAGCAGUUCCAGGAAAUGGCAACGGUGACAUCAGGCCUUGCCAGACCCCGACAGAGAAAAGUUAUCUAUGAACCCAGAGCUUUCCAGUCUGGAGCUGUGGUCUAAUCAGGACCAAGAGACUUGCUCCAGUUGCCUAGGGAUCACUUGCUGAUUUCAUGCAACCGUCUGGCCCUAUAUCAGAUGCUCUGGAGAAGCGGUAAUGCUAUUACUAACAGCUCCACAGACCUCUUUAUUUCAAAGAGAACCGAGCAGAGAUUCUGAGCUGAUUUUGGAAUUGUUCAUUAGUUUUCAAGCUUUCUUAAAGAGCGGUUUGGCCCUAUAACAGCUAGAAAAGUCAAAAGCAAAGUUUUUGAUUGGCUUAGCCCUUCACUUGAAGCCAGUGGGAGAGAUGGGCUCGCUUUCUUAGUAACAGCAAACACUGAGAAACUGAGAAACUUUUACACAUGAGGUUAAGUCUGGUUUUGACAUUUUCCACACAAGUGUGUUAUAUGCUUAUUAGAAAAUUCUUAGAAGAGUUCAGAAGAGACUGAAGAUGGAAAGAAAAGCCACUGAGAAGCCUGACCUCCAGAGAAAAUCACUGUUGAAUUUUUGUGUCCUUAGUCGACGUUUGCACGGUGUUCCCAAAAUGGGCACCCUGCAAAUACCAUUUUGAAGCUUCCUAUUUAAUACUCAGCAUCAUGCUAUGGCUAAUUUUUCAUAGUAACAAUUCUCCAGUAACAUAAUUCCUACCGCCUCUUCUAACGUAACAUUGUAGAGAAUAAUAAUCUAACAGUUUAAAGCCAUUCUGCUUGUUGGCUAUUUGUCUCAUUCUACUUGCUGCUGUUAUAAUGUUUCAAUAAUCAUCAUUGUGAAAGAUCUUUAUACAUACAACAUUAUCGUCACCUUAGAAAAAGCUCCUAGGAGUAAAAUCACUGAGUGUGGGUCAAAGGUUAUGCCUACUUUGAAUACUUUUGGUAGUAUUUUCCAAAUUGCCUUUCAGAAAAAUUGCCUCAAUUUAUACUCCCACAAGAAUACAUAAAUGUAUUUCAGUAGUCAAGCCAAUACCAGAUGGCCUAAUUUAAAUAAACAAUUUUAUUAUA